UGGUUCUGGCAUCGAUGAAGAACGCAGCGAAAUGCAAUAAGUAAUGUGAAUUGCAGAAUUCAGUGAAUCAUCGUGUUUUUGAACGCACAUUGCGCCCUUUGGUAUUCCGAGGGGCACGCCCGUUCGAGCGUCAUUUCACCACUCAAGCCUGGCUUGGUGUUGGGUCCACGGGGGCGACCCGGACCUCAAAGUGUCGGCGGGAAAGCUCUGAUCUCAGCGUUGUGAAUCAAAUCCGCUGGCGAGGAGGGCCCUCCGAGCCGUUAAACCUCCAUCAAAGGUUGACCUCGGAUCGGGUGGGGAUACCCGCUGA
rnacentral:misc_RNA from 1 species